CAUAGGUUAGCAGAAAUCAAUCUCUCCCUUUCUCCCUUGUACGCACGCUCGACCCUCCCUGCUUCUACCGUGUAGGCUCUACAACAUCCCUCUACUGCUUUUCUGUUUUCGACGGCGUUCUGGAGCUACCCUUCCCUGAGCUAUGCGUUUUUUCCUCUCCUCUGCUCGUCCCUAUGGAUAUCACUUUAUAGGUACUUUUCCUAUACCCUAAUGCAUCCCCUAUUUUCUUAACGUGAUUUCCAGCAAACCCUUCGUCAGUUCCAUCCCUUGAAUUUGGCCAGUUGUUUCAUGGUUGUUCUUGAUGCUUGAACCCUAGAAGAGAAUCUAUGAUCUAUGCCUAUGAGCAUCAAGAUACGUGUGUGUUACUUUCCAUAUCUUCCUUCAUGAAUUCUCGCAUAAAGUCCCCUAGAAUGUUAUCUAGCACAUGUUCUCCUCUGUCCAGUUUCCAUAGGUACUCUCAAAGCCAACUGUCAAUUUUGCUUUACACCCAACACUCCCUCUUCAUCUUCAUCUUCUUUACGACUUCACUGAUUUGAUGCAAGGAUUGUGCCUAUAAAUUAAACCAUUCGGGUCAUGACAAAUCAGAACAAGUUCUAGCAUGGAGAAAAACAGACUGGAUCAGAAGUCCCUGCAUGUGUUUUCUCAGAGACGCAAAGAAAGAAAAUAGACAUGGGAAGUUUGGAGGAUGACGAGUUGGGACAAAUGGUACAAGACUUCAUUGAAUCUGAGUCAACAUCCCCUACAAGUUCCACUUCAUCAAACCAGAUGCUUAAUUUUGCAGGACAUUCUCAGUUAUGAGACAGCAGCAAAAGCUAAGGUUUAGAAGAAUGUGUUGAAACAUAUGAGAGGCAGAAGACAGGGUUCUAAGAAAACAACAAGUCUGAGUAAAUGGCUUGUCAUGAGGAUGAAAAUGGAUGGCAUCAAUGUUUCUUUGUGUCACUCAUCUUGGUCCACCUCAUUGGGAUGUCCUGCUGGUGAAUAUGAAUUUAUUGAAGUCAUAACUGAAGACAAGAAUCAUGCUGGUCCUGUGAGGCUCAUAGUAGAUAUAGACUUCAGGUCCCAAUUUGAGCUUGCUAGGCCUUUACAGCACUACAAAGAAUUGACAGACUCUCUCCAUUUAUUUUUGUGGGGACUGAGAACAAACUCUGCAAGUUGGCGAGUUUCACUUUCAAUGCCAGAAGGCACACCUGUGAAGCCACCACAUUGUUUGAAGCAUACAGAAAAGUUCACUCUUGAUCAGGAAUGCGUUUGUGUUCCAGAUUCGAUAUGAAGGUUGUGAUUGGGGAGGGGCUUAAGAUUUAUGAGGAAGGGUGAGAAAGUUGUUGAACUGCUAGAUUGAGAAUGAGUACGGGAAACGGAGUAAGGUACUAGGAUCUGCUGGCCAAAGUUCUGUGAGUUGUGCCGCAAAAUUGGUUGUUAACAUAGGGACUGUGGUUCCAUGGAUAAUGUGCAAGGAAAGUGAUGCACCGAAUCCAGUGAGGGUGGGGACAUAAACCGUAUAGGAGCAAUUUUCUCAAAAGAAGACAUGGUGAUUAUGUUCACUAACACUGAAAGUAUUAUCAUGAAAGUUUUCGAGCCAAUCACUACGCAGGAGAUAUACUGAAAAGUUAGGAAUGAGCUUUCCGAUUUUGUUUGUUUCAUUCUGCCGCAUGCUUUACUUUCUAUGGUCACUUUGUGGUUGCGCAAACACCACUCUGACACUUCAACUUAUCCGCAUCAUUUAGACCUUGAUUUCAAAAGUGUAAUGCAAUACAUUCUUUAGCCAUCUUUGAGCUGAUAUGUCGUUUUCAGCUGAUAUUUUUUAGCUCUUAAAAACUAAACACAUUUCAUCAUCAUGUUUCAACAACCCAUUACUUAGUUGUAUAUUAUUGAUUGAUAUCAACAUGGGUCAUGUUGCUAAGAUCCCCCCAAGUAUAUGUUUACUAAUGUUCUAUAUUUAUAAGAUGAUCAGUUAUAUUUUUUGGUUAAAUUUUAAACUCAUGAUUUAUUACUUUUACAAGAUCUUGCCCAAUUUUCUUAUGCCACUGUUUAAGUUGUUGGCACCUCAGGAUCCUUGCAAGAUAUAGAUGAAGUUGAACUCCUUGGAUUUCUCCCGAGGCAAAAUAGGAUGUUGCAUAUGUAGUCUCUACAAACCGUUUGAAUAAGGCCAUCAAGAUGAUAAAGAGAAGUGACAGACAGGUUGGAAAUGAAGCAUUACAUUAGGGAGAAUGCUUUAUUGUCUCUCAUUUUCUUUUGUACUGGUUUUUGGUGAACAUGUAGUGUUCAAAUUUUCCAAUUGUCUUAAAUGUUUGUAAAUGGUUCAAACCCAUGAAGACUGUAAAGUUUUGUUAGGGUAUGGCAAACAAGAAGUUUGUUUAUUCACAAAGGUCAUUUAAAUAUAUCAUAUUGGAUUUGCGUUCA